GACGAACGCUGGCGGCGUGCCUAAUACAUGCAAGUAGAACGCACAGGAUGCACCGUAGUUUACUACACCGUAUUCUGUGAGUUGCGAACGGGUGAGUAACGCGUAGGUAACCUGCCUGGUAGCGGGGGAUAACUAUUGGAAACGAUAGCUAAUACCGCAUAAGAACAUUUACUGCAUGGUAGAUGUUUAAAAGGUGCAAAAGCAUCACUACCAGAUGGACCUGCGUUGUAUUAGCUAGUUGGUGAGGUAACGGCUCACCAAGGCAACGAUACAUAGCCGACCUGAGAGGGUGAUCGGCCACACUGGGACUGAGACACGGCCCAGACUCCUACGGGAGGCAGCAGUAGGGAAUCUUCGGCAAUGGGGGGAACCCUGACCGAGCAACGCCGCGUGAGUGAAGAAGGUUUUCGGAUCGUAAAGCUCUGUUGUUAAGGAAGAACGUGUGUGAGAGUGGAAAGUUCACACAGUGACGGUACUUAACCAGAAAGGGGCGGCUAACUACGUGCCAGCAGCCGCGGUAAUACGUAGGUCCCGAGCGCUGUCCGGAUUUAUUGGGCGUAAAGCGAGCGCAGGCGGUUAGAUAAGUCUGAAGUGAAAGGCAGUGGCUCAACCAUUGUAGGCUUUGGAAACUGUUUAACUUGAGUGCAGAAGGGGAGAGUGGAAUUCCAUGUGUAGCGGUGAAAUGCGUAGAUAUAUGGAGGAACACCGGUGGCGAAAGCGGCUCCCUGGUCUGUAACUGACGCUGAGGCUCGAAAGCGUGGGGAGCGAACAGG
rnacentral:rRNA from 1 species